rnacentral:rRNA from 1 species
AUUGAACGCUGGCGGCAGGCCUAACACAUGCAAGUCGAGCGAGCGGCGGACGGGUGAGUAAUGUCUGGGAAACUGCCUGAUGGAGGGGGAUAACUACUGGAAACGGUAGCUAAUACCGCAUACCAUCAGCUGAGCCCAGAUGGGAUUAGGUAGUAGGUGGGGUAAGGGCUCACCUAGGCGACGAUCGCUAGCUGGUCUGAGAGGAUGACCAGCCACAUGGGAACUGAUCCACGGUCCAGACUCCUACGGGAGGCAGCAGUGGGGAAUAUUGCACAAUGGGCGCAAGCCUGAUGCAGCCAUGCCGCGUGUAUGAAGAAGGCCUUCGGGUUGUAAAGUACUUUCAGCGAGGAGGCGUUACUCGCAGAAGAAGCACCGGCUAACUCCGUGCCAGCAGCCGCGGUAAUAC